GUCCUCGUAGCUUACAUACAAUCUAAAGCAUGGCACUGAAGAUGCCAAGACGGCAUCAAUAAACAGCCCGAGGACA
rnacentral:tRNA from 1 species